GACGAACGCUGGCGGCGUGCUUAACACAUGCAAGUCGAACGAAAAUACCAAGCUUGCUUGGUUGAUUAGUGGCGAACGGGUGAGUAACACGUGAGUAACCUGCCCCUUACUUUCCUGGAUAACUGCUCGAAAGGGUAGCUAAUACGGGAUAUUCUGACCAGCCUGCAUGGGUUGGUUUGGAAAGGUUGUUUUUCUGGUAAGGGAUGGGCUCGCGGCCUAUCAGCUUGUUGGUGGGGUGAUGGCCUACCAAGGCUUUGACGGGUAGCCGGCCUGAGAGGGUGGACGGUCACACUGGGACUGAGAUACGGCCCAGACUACUACGGGAGGCAGCAGUGGGGAAUAUUGCACAAUGGGCGCAAGCCUGAUGCAGCGACGCCGCGUGAGGGAUGAAGGCCUUCGGGUUGUAAACCUCUUUCGUCAGGGAACAAGGCACUGCUUUUGUGGUGGUGUUGAGGGUACCUGGAGAAGAAGCGCCGGCUAACUACGUG
rnacentral:rRNA from 1 species